rnacentral:rRNA from 1 species
AUUGAACGCUGGCGGCAGGCUUAACACAUGCAAGUCGAGCGAGCGGCGGACGGGUGAGGAAUGUCUGGGAAACCGCCUGAUGGAGGGGGAUAACCACUGGAAACGGUAGCUAAUACCGUACACUAUCAGACGUGCCCAUAUGGGAUUAGCUAGUAGGUGGGGUAAUGGCUCACCUAGGCGACGACCCCUAGCUGGUCUGAGAGGAUGACCAGCCACACUGGAACUGAGACACGGUCCAGACUCCUACGGGAGGCAGUAGUGGGGAAUAUUGCACAAUGGGCGCAAGCCUGAUGCAGCCAUGCCGCGUGUGUGAAGAAGGCCUUCGGGUUGUAAAGCACUUUCAGCGAGGAGGCGUUACUCGCAGAAGAAGCACCGGCUAACUCCGUGCCAGCCGCCGCGGUAAUAC